rnacentral:lncRNA from 10 species
CAGACUUUCAGUGCACUAGGUGUUUGAAAUCUUCCUCUAAGCCACGCAGGCAGCUGGCUCUUGCACUCACUCGUCUAUUUCUCUGGGGCUUCCCAAGCAUCCACUCCGAUGCCAAGCCUGGCUCCUGUACAUCGUGACAACAAGGGUGCCCCUACCCUCGAAGGUGGGUCUGGGGCUGCGUUACAGAGGCUCAUUUCUUGCUGGGAAUUGAACUGGGUUCUCUCAGGGCUUAAAACAUUGAAAAGAGAUGAAAAUGGGCUGACACAGCUGUGAGAGCAAGCAAAGGAUACCGCCCCAACCUCUCCACCUGGCUAAAUCACUCAUCCUUUGAGAUGCAGAAGCCAAAGAGAUCCUCAGCACAUACCUCCAGAAAGCCAGUUACUGCAGGGGAUGCGUACGGACCAGCCAGGAUCCUUAAAGCAUAAAGGCAAGAGCCAAGUCUCAGUAAACUCUGCAUGGGCCACAGCUCGGAAAAGAAAAAAACCUGUUAUAUCAUGGGAGCUCAGUGCUUGCUGAACUGAACUGAUUCACAUCAUGACUUGGGAUUCAUGAACCAGAAGCACAGGAAAUUAAUAAAAACUGAAAACGAGCCAAAGAGAAGGGAAAGGCUCUCUUACCACUGUUGAGAAUGUUAUGUUUAAUCCCUGCAAGCAGUAGAGACUCAGUGUACUUCCAUGAAGUGCUGCUUGGGCAUUCAUGAGGCAUUAAGGGAGAAAGAAUUUUUAAAAUCUUUGUCUUCUCAAAAGGGAAUACCACGAUGGGGCCAUGUCUAGAGCAAGGUGUCUAAGGUGAUUCUAGGGCCCUCGCCCAAGAAACGAAAGCAGCAUUGAACAUGUCCAGGAAGGAUGUGAAGCCUGAAGCCAAUGCAGAAGACAAAGCUAGAUAACCCCUGUCUCUAAGACAUAGGGACUUAGAACUCUUACCCUGAUGAGCAACAUUGAACAUUGGAUGUGUUCACCAGAAUGGAAGGAGACACACUCCUGCCGAAAUCAUGAAGGGCAAACUGACCCAGAAAAGGGACAGGUCAAGGAAGGUAUUACCUCUGCAUAGUUCUAGGUGUCCUGCUUAACUCAUUCAGGAAUUUCGGGCCAGAGGGAUAUCCAACAGGAAUUCUAACCUGAAGAGUUUAGAAACCAGUAGGAGAAUCAGGAUGAAUUCAGAAAUUACUAUAAUAUGCAUUUUCAAGUGAUAAAUCCCAUCAAAAACAGAAAAAGUGCUUGAAGAACUGGAAGGAACAGUGAUCAUUCUUGUCAGAUGGAAUCUUAAAAUCCAGUGGGUUUCAAAGGAUGAGCAGGAGCUGGACAUGAAGGGAUUGGAGGAUGGGGACUGGAAAUGGGGAGUUCAUUGCAAUCAGAAGGAAGAGCAAGAAAGGAACAAAAAGCAAGCAGUGUUUGGGGAGACCAGGAUGUGAUUCCAGUUUGGCCAAAAUAUAGGGUAUACUGGGAGAAUCUAUUGAGGUUUUGGGAGUGUAUUUGUUUGUAGUUUGAAAACACCUAAGCAAUUUUGAAGAGAAGCAGACUCUUUAAGUCAGAUGCUGGGUUCUCCAGUCCAAAUAUGCCAAUAUAAUUGUGUCUGGUCAAUGUCUAUCCUGUCCAUCCCUCCUGAGUGCCAGAUCUAAAUCCAGGUGCCAAUGGAUGACUUCCACUUGGGUGCCCCACAGGCGUCAUGAAUUCAGUAUGACUGAAAAGGACUCCUCCUAUCUUCAGCGAUGGUUCCACUACACAAUACACUGUCCAAGCCAGAAGUCCCAAACUAGCCUUCUGUCCUUCCUUCUCCAUUCACCACGCCUGUCAUCCCCUUCAGAGCUGUUGGCCAAAUCUUGUUGAUUUUACCAAGUAUCUAUCAAAAUGUUUCCUCUUCCUCCCUGUACUCACUGCAAUCACUUUUGCUCAAGGGCUCAUCAUUUCGUGCCUGGGUGACUAGAGUUGUUUCCCAGCAGGUCUCCCCACCCUCCUUUCUCACAUGGCUGCCAGAACGGUCUUCUGAAAGGCAAAUCUGACCAUUCGACAACUCUGCUCUAAAUUCCUCCUAUGGAUCCCCAUGGCUUGGAUUUAAUAAAUGUUUAUUGAGUGAAUGAGUUCUCUGCAUACAUGUUGUUCUCUGCCUGGUACCGUGGAGGUCAGGCUCGCACAGAAGCAUACUUAUGGUCAGAGUUAGUCAAUAAAAAAAGUGAUCUAUUCUGAGUUCCAUACCACCCCAAAACACUGAUCAGCUUGGGGAAACUUAGAAAGUUCAACCACCUGGGGAUAAAGUUUGGACAACUAGGCUAGGGCCAAUUCAGGGUACAGGUGGAGGCUAGGAAGUUUGGCAUAGGAUAUCAUUAAAGGUCUUCUAAGGAUGAAGGCAAUUGGAGCUACACUAUAGGAAGGCACAGCAGGCGGAGAACAGACUUGAGAAGGAUUUGGGAGGUGAAGAAACAGCUAAAAGACUCUAUCUCUGACAAAGAUAUAAUGCCCAGAAUUAGAAGAGUGGAAAUGAAGGAAUGAUGAAUGAAAGAGAUUAUCAAGAAGAAACAAACAAACAAAUAAACAAACAAAAAUCCCUGUAAUCAGUAACCAUCUAUUAUUAUGUCCCAGAUUUUGGAAAUGAGACCCUAAUGACAAGCACUCCUAAACCUUCAACAUAGCUGCUGUUAAGGAUGUUGUCUUGUGGGGGUGAAAGGCAGACCAAAAUGAUACUACCACCCUACUCCUUACCGAUGAGUCCUUUCUGAUUUUAAGCAAAUGGCAUACAGUGUGGUGAAUUAAAAACAGCAUUAUCCUGAUUUUAUUACUAGUAUCAUUACUAUUAGCAUUAUUGCUACUGCUGUUAUAGGUAAAAAUGGGAACGUUGUGAACAUUUCCCAUUGCCUAUCCAAGGUGCUUGGUACUUUACAUGAUAUCUCACUUAAUCAUCAGAAAGUUUGGAGUUAUUCUAUAGGUAAUGAGGGAGAUGCUAUUAUUACCUGCUGUGGUGGAAUAAAGAUGGCUGCAAAUUCUUUGUCACUUCUACCAGAAGAAAGUGAGGUGUAUGUCUGCUCCCCUUGAAUCUGAGUGGGUUUUGUAACUGCUUAGUCCACAGCAGUCAUGCUGUGCCAACCCCUAAGCCAGGCCAUAAGAAACUGGCAGCUUCCUGUUACUUUCUUUUGGAAUCCUCUGGGAGCCCUGAGCCACCAUGUAAGAAAUCUGAUGGCCCUAUAUCUGCCAUGCAGGAAAGGCCAUGUGUAGGGCUCUGGGUAAGAGUCCCUCAGCUGAGCCAAGCAUCCCAGUCAUCCUCGUGAAAGUGCCAGACCCAUGGGUGACCAUCCUGGACCAGCUGAAGUGCCAGUCCAAUUCAUCCUCCAGCAUAGCACCACUGACUGACCCCAGUCAACACCACAAGGGGCAGAAGAGUCACUCCACUGAGCCCCAACUUACAGAAAUCACAAGAUAAAACAAAAUGGUUGUUGUUUUAAGCCUCUAAGUUUUGGGGUAAUGUAUUAUGCGGCUAUACAUAAAUUGGAACAUCCACGUUUUACAGAUGAGCUACUUGUUACUCCAAAAGUUUGGCUGACUUAUCUGUAGUCUCCUGGCUGAUGAGGUGUGCAGCCUGGAUUAGAACCUCCAUCUGCCUGACCUGGCUGCACACAAUGCUUGUUAAGUUAUCCCGGAAAACGUAAGGCCAUACAGGUGUGGCAGACUAAUUAAAUUCACCAUGCUCUUUGGGCUGUGUGACUGCUACCAAAAUGUCCUACCCUACCUCACAUAUUCCCUUGUUAGGUAGAGAAGGCUGGACGAUGCUACAACUGCUUCUCCGCCAGGCCUCCCAACGCCCUCGCUGGGCAGAGUCCCAUGUGACUGUUUUCACUGCUAGAAAAAUUAACUUGCAUAAUGACCAGGAAGUAAAGAUAAACUCAAGGAUGAGAGAAAACCUCCCACCUCAGAGGCUCCACCUCACUGGGGUGAACAAGCACUGACCUUCUAUCAUCCUAUAAGGAAAACAAGAAGAAGAGAUGCUUACUUGAAUUACUACAUAGGCUCCCUGCCUACAUCCACAUCUUGAAAAUUCUGAGCUGUGAAGCUCUCGUGGUUGGCUCCUGGGAACUUGAGAUUCCCAGUGAUAUUCCAAUGCUGAAACAGCCCAGCAAGGUGAUGCAGGUAAGCACGCUUGUAGGAUGUAACAAUGUGAAACCUCAGCACACUGUGGUUAUGUUUCAAAGCACGAGGUGACGGAAGCAAGAGCGAGUUUACAUGGGCUUGUGAUUUCCUUUGACAAGAUACACGCACUCAUUCCUUCAACCUAAGCAAAAUUUCCAGGACUACAACAGAUUUGAAACUCAGGUGGACGAAAAAAACCAUCUGUGAAUGGGAUAACAUACGAAAUCAUCAAAGGUAAUUGUUUUAAAAACGUGACUCAAGAUGGCACAGAACAGCGUCCACAGAUGUAUUCUUGGUUACUUAAAAACACAAUUUAAAGUAAUUAGCUUAAUGUUGAUGUAAUUCUAAAGAUCGAUAAAUAAACCUAAAAAUCUUAAUUUGAUAUUGAAUCGCCCCAAAUUAAACAACAUAUUUUCAAACCACUAAAUAUUGAUUCAUUUGUAAGAUGAGGCCUUUCAAUGCAACUAUUUGACCUGAACGCAAACAGGAAAGGGUUGACACAUUUUCUCUGUGAAGGGCCAGAUAGUUAAGUACCUUCAUCUUCGGGCCACGUAUCGUCUCUGGCACACAGCCUUCUUUGGAUUUUUUGUUCAUUUUUGUUUUUUUUAACGGGUCAUAAAUAAAAGGCUACUGGCUGGAGUUAGCCUUUGGGCCAUAAUUGGUUCAUUCCUACCUUUUCAUAAUCUCAGUUAUUGAUCAGGUGAUUUUUCAAACUGUGAAGGGUCUACACGUUCACCCUCUUCCUUGUAAGUUAAUGAGUUAGCUACCAAGUUUUGAGGAAGCUAGCAGAAAACAGGAGACCCAGGAUCAGAUACAGAGGACUUCGUUACUCAUGGCAGAGCAAACAGCAUGAGCUUUAUUUCUGCACUGAUUCCCAUUGCCCUGGCCCCUAGUCCCACAGGGAGGAUG